AUGGAAGUCACCCAGAUUCUUUUGAAUGCACAAUCUCAGUGGAUAGUACAGUUCGGAAACAUGCAGAAGAAAGCCUGAAACACUUUCAGGAAGAAAACAUCUCUGUGUUUUUGCUAUCUCUUUCUAAUGAGUUAUCAAACAACGAAAAGCCUGUUGAUAGCCGUAAAUUAGCUGGCUUGAUCCUUAAAAAUUCUCUGGAUGCGAAGGAGCAGCAUGGGAAAAAUGAACUUGUCCAAAGAUGGUUGUCCUUAGAUGUGGCUAUCAAAACCCAGAUCAGAGCUUGCUUGAUGCAGACCCUUCUUUCUCCUGUUACUGAUGCUAGAUCUACUGCAUCCCAAGUUAUUGCUAAGAUUGCAGGUAUUGAGCUACCUCAGAAACAGUGGCCUGAACUUACAGGCUUUCUAUUAUCAAACAUCCACCAGCUUCAGCCUCAUGUUAAGUAAGCCACAAUUGAAACUCUUGGCUAUAUAUGUGAGGAAGAUUCUCCGCAAGUCGUUGACCAAGAUCAAGUCAACAAGAUACUGCUGUUGUUCAGGGUAUGAAUGCAUCUGAGGGGAGUAUGGAUGUCAGACUGGCUGCUACCCGAGCCUUGUAUAAUGCUCUCGGUUUUGCACAGGCUAAUUUCUCAAAUGACAUGGAACGAGACUAUAUUACGAGAGUGGUUUGUGAAGCCACUUUAUCCACAGAGGUGAAGAUACGGCAGGCUGCAUUUGAGUGUUUGGUGGCCAUCUCAUCUACCUACUACAACAAGCUUGCAUCAUACAUGCAGGACAUAUUUAACAUCACAGCGAAAGCUGUGAGAGAAGAUGACGAGCCUGUUGCUCUUCAAGCUAUAGAGUUCUGGAACUCUAUUUGUGAUGAAGAAAUUGACAUCUUAGAUGAAUAUGGGGGUGAUUAUACUGCUGAUUCUGACAUCCCUUGUUAUUAUUUUGUCAAGCAAGCACUGCCUGCAUUGGUUCCUAUGCUGUUGGAGACACUUCUUAAGCAGGAAGAGGAUCAAGAUCAGGAUGAAGGAUCUUGGAACCUUGCGAUGGCUGGUGGAACAUGCUUGGGUUUGGUUGCACGCACAGUUGGAGAUGACAUAGUGCCUCUUGUGAUGCGUUUUAUUGAAGAGAUCAUAACAAAACCAGAUUGGAGGCAAUGAGAAGCAGCAACAUAUGCAUUUGGUUCGAUUCUAGAGGGUCCAUCACCUGAAAAACUCAUUCCUCUUGUGAAUGUUGCUCUAAACUUUAUGCUUACUGCCAUGAUGAAAGACCCAAAUAACCAUGUCAAGGACACUACCGCAUGGACACUUGGAAGAAUAUGAGUUUCUCCAUGGGUCAACUGUGCAAACACAUGUAAUUACUCAUGGGAAUUGCCAUCAGAUCCUGAUAGUCCUUCUACAGAGCAUGAAAGAUGUCCCUAAUGUUUCUCAAGGUUACGAGGAUGCCACUUCAGUAUCGCCGCUGUCCCCUUUCUUCCAAGACAUUGUCCAUGCUCUUCUCAAUGUUACACACAGGGAAGAUGCUGGAUAAUCUCUCUUGAGGACUGCAGCGUACGAGACUUUGAAUGAAGUUGUGAGAGCUUCAAGGGAUGAGACAGCCCCAGUAGUAAUGCAAUUGGUUCCGGUUAUCAUGAUGGAGUUCCACCAAAUGCUUGAGGCACAGAAGCUUUCAUCAGAUGAAAGAGAGAAGCAGAACGAAUUGCAGGGCCUUCUUUGUGGGUGCUUGCAGGUUAUCAUCCAGAAGUUGGGAGCAUCUGAGGCAACAAAGCAUGUUCUAAUGCAGUAUGCAGACCAGAUAAUGGAGCUCUUCCUCAGGGUUUUUGCUUGCCGAAAUGCUACAGUGCACGAAGAGGCUAUGCUCGCCAUUUGUGCUCUAGCAUAUGCUGUUGGUGGAAAUUUUAUAAAGUACAUGCAAAGCUUUUAUCCAUAUUUAGAAAUGGGUCUUCAAAAUUUUCAGGAAUAUCAGGUCUGUGCUGUCACUGUUGGCGUGGUUGGGGAUUUAUGCAGGGCAUUGGAGGACAAAAUAUUGCCCUACUGUGAUGGAAUCAUGACACAACUCCUUAAGGAUUUAUCUAGCAAUCAGUUGCACAGAUCUGUUAAGCCCCCAAUAUUUUCAUGUCUUGGUGAUAUUACACUAGCAAUAGGAGAGAACUUUGAGAAGUAUCUGAUAUAUGCCAUGCCUAUGCUCCAAAGUGCAGCAGAGCUGUCUGCAUACGCUGUUGCAACUGACGAUGAAAUGCUGGAAUAUACCAACGAACUCAGAAAUGGAAUUCUGGAAGCAUUCUCUGGGAUAUUACAGGGAUUUAAAAGCUGUCCGAAGACCCAGCUGCUGAUGCCUCAUGCACCUCACAUCCUUCAGUUCCUUGAUAGAUUGUACAAUGGAAAGGACAUUGAUGAAGACUGCAGUAGGUGUCCUGGGUCAUUUAGCUGAUACCCUGGGUGCUCACGCUGGGACUUUGAUCGAUCAGUCUGCUGCAAGCAAAGAAUUUUUGGGAGAAUGCUUGCUAUCAGACGAUCAAUUCAUAAGAGAGUCUGCUGAUCGGGCUAAGUUGGCCAUUAGUCGGUUGCGGUCUCUGGUUAAUGAUAAAUUUUGGCACUUUAUAUAAUUUUGCAUAUGCAUAGCGGUCAUGUCAAGUCUGGUCUGGGUUGCAUGAAUGUGUCGGUCGUCACCAUUUUGCGCAAGGUGUGUCUUUCUGGACGGUCACAUGGACCAUUUUUCAGAUCAUGCAUGAGCACCUUGUAUUGGGAUCUUCUCAUUCGCUUUGGAAAUGGAGCUUAAAUGCGGUCCCACUGCUGAUUCUUCAGGAGAGCUGAAAUUCAUUUUUUGGAAAAUCUGUAAGGAGCUAUACACCGUAUGUCUGCAAAGACUGAGGUGCCUUUUUUUUGCUCAACUGUAUGGUCCUUGUCCUUCGCAUGUCGUCCUUCUGCAACAGAAGCUAAAUCAUGGUGAAUGCCUGGAUCGAAAGACACAAAAGCAGCAGUGGUUGUGGUCGAAGAGCAUACUGUGUUUUGCAUCACAACCAAGUACAUAAUACUCUCCUCAACCCCGCAACUAUGCCUUUUUGCUGUUUGGUUCUUGUUCUUUUUCCCAGGGGAUGGGAUGUUGUCUUGGUUCUUGCAUAUUUGUUUCUGGACUGUCUGCAUUUCUUGCUCCUCCACUUAAGCAAAUUGUAGAAGUCAUAGUACGUGGCUCUUAGUGUAUGCAUUAUACUAUCUGUUGUGUCAGUAAUUACAUCAAUUACAAGGUUGUCUUGGCAUUCAUCCUCACUGCCAUGGAAGGUAGCUGUUGCAGUGGUCACUCCGUCCGCAUCUUGUACUUCCUUUUUAAUGGUCCUACCGAAAUUGCCUGUUUAA